rnacentral:lncRNA from 1 species
CGGAAUCAAGAAUAUUUGAUUGCAUAAUCAACUCAGGCAAAGCAAGUGGGAUUUCAAGUUUAGAGAAAACCUAUGUUGAUUCAUGAAUCAUAUCACCAGUAACAGCAGAAUGAGCAACUGCAUCCUCAAGAGCAAGAGGGGAGGCAUAGGAAGGUGGGAAAGUAGAUGGCACAAUAGUAAGCUCAUGACUCUGCUCCCCAUCUCCUAUGUGGAUGGCACUGACAUCAUCAAGAAUUGGAACAGUCUGCAAUGGUGAUCCCUCUAAAAAUUGAGACUAUUCCUCGGUGCACUGCGCGACCAUCUGCCUCCACAACUCAUUCAAUGUAGGCUCAGAAGAAGUAGGAGAUUUGGCAGGUGCCCUUUGCUGUUGUUGUUUCCUCUGAUUUUCCUGUUGUGGCUGCUUGUUAUUGUAGAUGUUGGUAGCAUAAGCUUGAGGCUCAUCAUGAGUAACAGGGUGGUCCAAAGAAGGGCAUGCAUCAAUAGAGUGGUCUCUGGAAGGACAUAUAGCACACAACCGUGCAAUAGAUGCAGAUGGAGGUACAGGUGUCUGGUUGGAUGCCAGCUGUAUCACCAAACUCUCAAGAGAAUCAUGCUUGCUUUCCUAUUUCCUACCAACAGCUGAUAAAGAAUGGGCAGGCUCAUGAGACUGCAGCUGCUGUGGUUCUUGGACUGGUGGAGAAGGCAUACAAGAAUUCUAGAAUGGCUCCUGAUGUUGAUGCUGUGAAGUGCCAUACCAUCCCAAGUUAGGCUCAGUCC